AACGAACGCUGGCGGCACGCCUAACACAUGCAAGCCGAGCGGGGUAGCAAUACCUAGCGGCAGACGGGUGCGUAACAUGUGGGAAUCUGCCUUUUGGUUCGGAACAACAUGGGGAAACCUGUGCUAAUACCGGAUAAGUCCCAACGGAGAAAGUUUUAAUGCCAAAAGAUGAGCCCGCAUUUGAUUAGCUUGUUGGUGAGGUAAAAGCUCACCAAGGCUAUAAUCAAUAGCUGAUUUGAGAGGAUGAUCAGCCACACUGGGACUGAGAUACGGCCCAGACUCCUACGGGAGGCAGCAGUGGGGAAUCUUGCACAAUGGGCGAAAGCCUGAUGCAGCGAUGCCGCGUGAGUGAAGAAGGCCUUUGGGUUGUAAAGCUCUUUUGUCGGGAAAGAUAAUGACUGUACCCGAAGAAUAAGGUCCGGCUAACUUCGUGCCAGCAGCCGCGGUAAUACGAAGGGACCUAGCGUAGUUCGGAAUUACUGGGCGUAAAGAGUAUGUAGGCGGCUAGAUAAGUUAAUUGUGAAAGCCCAAAGCUUAACUUUGGAACUGCAAUUAAAACUAUUUAGCUGGAGUAUGAUAGAGGAAAGCGGAAUACAUAGUGUAGAGGUGAAAUUCGUA
rnacentral:rRNA from 1 species